rnacentral:tRNA from 1 species
UCCCUGGUGAUCCAGUGGCUAAGACUCCAUCUUCCAAUGCAGGGGCCCAGGUUCAAUUCCUGGUCAGGGAA